rnacentral:lncRNA from 1 species
AGGGAAGUUCUCAAGUGUAUAAGGUACAAGAGAGGAGAAACUUCCAUAUAUCCAAACAAGUCAUAAUCUAGCUAUAGCAAUUGUAUAUGGCAAAAUCAUCCUCCUCCUCCUCUACCAAACCUAAACAAACACAUGAGGUAUUCCUUAGCUUCAGAGGCGAGGAUACUUGUAAAACAUUCACAAGCCAUCUCAAUAGUGCAUUAAGAAGGUUAGAUAUCAAGACUUACAUAGAUGACAAUUUAGAAAGAGGGGAUGAAAUUAUAGGUGUACUGAGAACAAAUCCUUCCUAAUUACACUAUGACAUCAUCAUCACUGUUGACUUCCCUUAAUUCAUGCAUAACUAUUAUUGUUUAGGAUCAAUUGUCAUUAGUCAGUACAAUUGACUUACCUUAUUCAUGUACAAUUGUUUUGCUCUACUGUAAUUCUAAUUCAAUGCAUUUAAUUAUUAUGUAAAUGCAUUUGAUUACCUUGUAAAGCUUGGACAGCUAUAAAGCCUUGUACAACCGUGUGUAAAAUAUAGCAGAAAUAUAUUAGCCUUUGUUAAUUAUUAUGGUAUCAGUUUUGCCAUUUGCUUAACAGCAUACCCUUUAUUUUCGAUCCAACCAUGACCACUUCAUCAUCCACCACUACUACCAAUUUCAUAUCCUCUGACCAAAAGGAUCUCAUGGAAUUUAACACUACAACUCAUCUUCCAAUCAAACUCACAUCCAAAAAUUACCCAGCUUGGUUCAAACAAAUUAAUUCUCUUCUCAUAGCUCGUGACCUUGUCGGCUAUGUCGACGGCACGAAGCCCUGCUGCCACCACUGGUUCAGGAGCUUCUGCAGUAUCAAAUCCUGCACAUUCCAUAUGGAUCCGUCAAGAUAAAUUUCUCUAUCUUGCGCUUCUUGGAUCCUGCGACUCUGAAGCACGCUCAGUUAUGGCUUCUGCCGACACCUCUCGCGAGGCCUGGGUUGCACUUGAAAGAGCCUUCGCCAAUAGGUCUCAAUCAAGAAUCAUGUCGCUUAGAGAGCGUCUCAGCUCCAUAUCAAAAGGAAACUCUGCUGUUUCCACCUAUCUCCAAUCUAUUCGAAACAUUGCUGAUGAAUUAGCCCUUAUCGCCCACCCCAUUGAUGAUCUUGAAAUGGUCAUUCAUGCUUUAAAUAGUCUAGGACCAACUUUUCGAGAGUUCACCACCUCCAUUCGCACUCGCGACAGUCCUAUCCCCUUCAAUGAGUUAUAUGACAAAUUGGUGGAUUUUGAAAUGUGUCAGCAACGCGAAGAGCGUCUUUCCACCAACACGCCUGUAACUGCAAAUCAUGUUCAGCGUCGUCAUCAUGCCAAUGGACGCGGGCGUCCUUCAUAUCAGCCAAACACUGAGAAUCCAUCUUUCAACCACAAGAAACCUGCACAUGUUGCUCCUGUCAUCUGUCAGUUCUGCGAAAAACCAGGCCACUCAGCCAAAGAAUGCUACAAGAUACAUGGCUAUCCUAAAAAACCUCGCAAUCCAACUGUUAACCUUGCUCACAGAUCCAACUCAUCCCCUCCUGAUUGGCUCUUUGAUUUUGGAGCAUCGCACCACAUCACCAAUGAUUUCAACAAUCUCUCAAUCAAGAGUGAUUAUACUGGAGAUGAUCACCUGCAAGUUGCCAAUGGUAAUAUACUUCCAAUCACACAUAUAGGUUCAACAAUUUUAUCUAAAUCAUCUUCUCCAUUAAUACUCUCUAAUACUUUAUGUGUUCCAUCAGUUACACAAAAUCUAGUUUCUGUUUCUCAAUUGUGUCAAACUAAUGAUGUAUCUAUUGAAUUUUUUCCUUGGCAUUUUGAGGUAAAGGAGCUGCAGACGGGGGAAGUACUGUUGCGAGGACUGAAUGAAGAUAAUGUGUACAAUUUCAACCCCAACUCAACCAUCCCUCAGACAUCCGUAGCCACAACCGCAACCUCACUUCAGCUUUGGCAUCAUCGCCUUGGUCAUCCAGCUCCAAAACCUCUUCUUCAUGCCCUUAAAACUAAUAAUGUUCCCUUUACCGGUUCUUUCAAUGCUUGUCAUAAUUGUUUUUCCAAUAAAAGUCACAAACUUCCAUUCUCUAAGUCUACAAUUUCUAGCAAUUAUCCUUUAGAGAUUGUAUACUCAGAUGUAUGGGGACCUGCUCCUUUCAAUUCAAUAGAUGGUUUUCGUUAUUAUGUUAUUUUUAUUGAUCACUUCUCUAAAUAUGUUUGGCUUUAUCCAAUGAAAUUCAAAUUUGAGGUUUCCAUUCUUUUUCCCAUUUUUAAAAAAUUGGUAGAGAAACAAUUUAAUACCACCAUUAAAACCUUUUACUCUGAUAACGGUGGUGAAUACAUAAAACUCAAAUCAUUUUUCCAACAACAUGGUAUCACCCACCUUACUACUCCACCCCAUACACCUGAACAUAAUGGCCUCUCUGAACGCAAACACCGUCAUUUAACUGAAACUGCUCGCUGCCUUAUCCACCAUGCUUCCCUCCCACUUACAUUUUGGUCCUUUUCCUUUCAAACUGCAGCCUAUUUAAUCAACCGCUUGCCAACUCAAACCCUACAUAUGACCACACCCUACAAUAUCCUCUUCAAAACAUCACCCAAUUACAUCAAAUUAAAAACAUUUGGUUGUUUAUGCUUUCCUUGGUUUAUACCUUACAACAAGAAAUUGGAACAAAAAUCAGAAUCAUGUGACUUUCUCGGGUACAGCCCCACUCAAAGUGCUUACAUUUGCUAUAAUUUCAAAACAAACAAAAUUCACCACUCACGCCAUGUUCAGUUUUUGGAAAAUGAAUUUUCAUACUCAUAUGACUAUAACUCUACAACUACUCCUACAACCUCUCCCACCACACCUCCUUCCAACAUUAACCAAUCAUUUACUCCUCUCACAAAUCACAUUCAUUUAUCUACGUCAGAGUCUAACUAACCUUCAAACUCAAUCUCACCAAAAAACCCUAUAGUCUCAACCAACCAAACCAACCAGCACCAUAUCACUAAUACCCUCACUAUUACUUGACCUCAAAAUUCAAACUCCACUCCAUCCAAUAAUCCUCCAAACAUUAAUAUCUCUCCAAAUCCAAACUCAAACCUACACUCUACAUAUACUCCAAAUCAAACGCCCUCCCCAUCCAAUGAAACCUCCGACAAAUCUCCAACAUUGUGCACAUUAUCUCAAUCUCAGUCAAUUCCAGCAGCACAACCCCCUCUCGUUCCUACUCACAAUAUGGUCACUCGUGGACAGAAAGGUAUCUUUAAGCCAAAGAAAUUAUUUUCAAUAAGCAAGUAUCCAAUUCCUCCUUCUGUGGAACCAACUUGUGUGUCUAAAGCUCUUCAACAUGUUGAAUGGAAGCAAGCGAUGUCAGAUGAGUUUAUGGCUCUAAUGAAAAAUGGAACAUGGUCUCUUGUACCACCUGAACCUUACUUCAAUAUCAUUGGUAACAAAUGGGUUUUUAGAUUGAAAAUAAAUCCAGAUGGAUCGAUAGCUCGCUAUAAAGCACGGUUGGUUGCCAAAGGUUUUCAUCAACGUCCUGGAAUUGAUUUCAAGGACACGUUCAGCCCUGUAAUCAAACCUCAAACAAUCAAACUAGUGCUUUCUAUUGCUAUCUCAAAGAAGUGGCUACUCAGCCAAAUGGAUGUUAACAAUGCCUUCUUGCAUGGAACUUUAUCUGAGCAGGUCUACAUGUCUCAGCCUCCAGGUUUUAUUCACCAGAAUUUUCCGCAUCAUGUAUGUAAACUCCACAAAUCUCUUUAUGGUCUAAAACAGGCUCCGCGUGCAUGGUACAAUGAGCUUAAGUCUUUUGUUGUAGCAUAUGGGUUCAGCAAUUCAAAAUCAGAUCCUUCACUCUUUAUUUACAACAAGGACAAUGUCAUUUCAUAUUUUUUAGUAUAUGUUGAUGAUAUUUUGCUUACAGGAAAUGAUUCAUCCUCUCUUCACAACUUCAAGCAAGCUCUUGCCAAAAAGUUUUCUCUGAAAGAUCUUGGAACACCUAGUCAUUUUCUUGGAGUUGAGCUUCUCCCUACAUCCACUGGUAUCUUUAUGACGCAGCAUCAUUACAUCCGUGAGUUGUUACAAAAGGCAAAUAUGCUUGAUGCAAAACCUGUAAGCACACCCAUGUCUACCUCAUGUUCACUUGCUUUAGAAGAUGAUCCUUCAACGUGUGAUGCCUCAUCCUAUCGCAGCAUCAUUGGCUCACUCCACUACUUGUCGAUCACUCGCCCAGAUGUAGCCUUUCCGGUAAAUAAGCUUUCCCAGUUCAUGCAAAAGCCAAAUGCUACUCAUAUGCAAGCUCUCAAGAGGGUACUUCGUUACCUCAAAGCCACUAUAUCUCACGGAUUGCACUUAGUCCCAACAAAGUGCCUCACUCUCCAAGCCUUUUGUGACGCUGAUUGGGGUGGUGACAUCAAUGAUAGAAAAUCCACAGGAGCAUAUAUAAUCUACCUAGGAUCAAAUGCAAUAUCAUGGUCCUGCAAAAAACAGCCCACUGUCGCUCGAUCCUCGACCGAAGCUGAAUAUCGCACCAUUGGCUCAACUACGACUGAACUCCUCUGGUUACAACAGGUCCUAAAAGAACUUGGAAUCAAUAUUCAGCAGCCUCCAGCUAUUUUUUCAGACAACAUCGGUGCAACAUAUCUAUGUGCGAACCCAGUUUUUCAUACUCGAAUGAAGCAUCUUGCAAUAGAUUAUCAUUUCGUUCGUGACCUUGUAGCCAAGAACCAGCUCACCGUGUCACAUGUACCAUCCAGCCAUCAACUAGCUGAUCUCCUAACUAAGCCACUCUCUUCGACGAGACAUAGUUUUCUAACCUCCAAGAUUGGCGUCGUUGAAUCCUCCUCCAUCUUGCGGGGGCGUAUAGGUGUACUGAGAACAAAUCCUUCCUAAUUACACUAUGACAUCAUCAUCACUGUUGACUUCCCUUAAUUCAUGCAUAACUAUUAUUGUUUAGGAUCAACUGUCAUUAGUCAGUACAAUUGACUUACCUUAUUCAUGUACAAUUGUUUUGCUCUACUGUAAUUCUAAUUCAAUGCAUUUAAUUAUUAUGUAAAUGCAUUUGAUUACCUUGUAAAGCUUGGACAGCUAU